GACAGAGGGUGCAAACGUUGUUCGGAAUUACUGGGCGUAAAGAGCUCGUAGGCGGCUUGUUGCGUCAGCUGUGAAAACCCGCAGCUCAACUCCGGGCCUGCAGCCGAUACGGGCAGACUAGAGUUCGGCAGGGGAGACUGGAAUUCCUGGUGUAGCGGUGAAAUGCGCAGAUAUCGAGGAGGAACACCGGUGGCGAAGGCGGCUCUCUGGGACGGUAC
rnacentral:rRNA from 1 species